rnacentral:misc_RNA from 1 species
GAUGAAGAACGCAGCGAAAUGCGAUAAGUAAUGUGAAUUGCAGAAUUCAGUGAAUCAUCGAAUCUUUGAACGCACAUUGCUCCCCUUGGUAUUCCGAGGGGCAUGCCUGUUCGAGCGUCAUUAUAACCCCUCAAGCUCAGCUUGGUGUUGGGGCCUGCUGCACUGGCAGCCCUUAAAAUCAGUGGCGGCGCCAUCUGGCUCUAAGCGUAGUAAUUCUUCUCGCUAUGGAGUCCUGGUGGAUGCUUGCCAUCAACCCCCAAUUUUUCUAUGGUUGACCUCGGAUCAGGUAGGGAUACCCGCUGAACUUAAGCAUAUCAAUAAGCGGAGGA